UCUCUCUGAUCUUCUCCACAUCCUAGCAGCAAGAAAUCCUAGGUUUUCUUGGCCGCCCACCUCCAAAGGGAAAGAAAGGAGGUGCUAGGGUUUCUAGCACCCUCCUAGUGAAUGACCCCCUUUUUGUGAGCCCCCUCUUGACCGCCCAAGAGGAGUUCUAUGCCUCAUCUUUUAUUUUUGGAGGAUUUAUCAAGGAUACUUCCAAAUCCCAAAAGGUGGGUUUCAGAUCUGAUGGAGAAGGGGUUCAAAUCGUAGAAAGAAAUCCUGCCGACAGGAUUUACAAGGUUGCUGAAA
rnacentral:lncRNA from 1 species